rnacentral:rRNA from 1 species
GAUGAACGCUAGCUACAGGCUUAACACAUGCACGUCGAGGGACCGGCGCACUGGUGAGUAACACGUAUCCAACCUGCCCUUUACUCGGGGAUAGCCUUUCGAAAGAAAGAAUAAUACCCGAUGUAAAGGAUGGGAUUGCUUUCCAUUAGGUUGUUGGUGAGGUAACGGCUCACCAAGCCUUCGAUGGCUAGGGGUUCUGAGAGGAAGGUCCCCAACAUGGGAACGGAGACACGGUCCAAACUCCUACGGGAGGCAGAAGUGAGGAAUAUUGGUCAAUGGGCGUUAGCCUGAACCAGCCAAGUAGCGUGAAGGAGGAAGGCUUAUGGGUCGUAAACUUCUUUUAUAUAAGAAUAUGUAUUAUAUGAAUAAGGAUCGGCUAACUCCGUGCCAGCAGCCGCGGUAAUUCAUU